rnacentral:misc_RNA from 1 species
CUGAAAUAACAGCGCCCGUGUGCCUCUCGUUUCCCGCUUUGCUCCCACGAGCCUUCCUCGCUCUUCCUCUGCUGGCCGCCGCACUGCGGCUCCCGCCUCCGCCUCCCCCGGCCGCACAGUUGAGGCGCGUCAUCGCCGGCCACUCUGCUCUCCGCUCUCCUGUACGCAUCGGCUCUUGCCUGCCGCUCUGCCCAAGGUGUCUGCGCUGGAAUGGGCAACAGGCAGUCCUCGGUGCCCUUGGAGGGCGAAGGGCACCCGGAGGUGUUUUACCGCGGCGUGAAGGCCGCGCAAGAAGGCCGCUUCACCGUGUCGGAGGUGUACUUUGUGCAGGCGCUGACACGGCACCCCGGGCGGCACUUCUGGGACACGUUCACAAAGGCGGUGCUGCAGAAGGAGCGCAGCGCUGGUUUCGAGGGCGGCGGCGCGUCGCUGCCGAAGGACGGUGUGCAGGAGGAUGUCGACGCAGGCCCGGCCGCUGACGGCCCGCUGGGCCCGUGCAACGAUGUGCAGCCGCAGACCGUGCUUGGGGGUAGUGUGCCGGACAAGGCAGACGAGCUGCCGGGCAGCGGUGACAGGGGCGAUGGCGGCGACUCUGCGGAGCAGGCGGACGCAAGGACGAACGGUGCACAGUCCGUGCACGACACCAAGGUAGUUGACGUCUUCCUGCCGCUUGACGGGGGCCUGACUGAUGUCAUGGACUACUAUCGGUUGCUCGCUGAUAUUGGGCACACGUACCUACAGCUGAUCCCCUCCACAGCACAUAUGGAGAAGGUCACCGGGCUCGCCGCGCGCUACUGCAUCUUCACCAUCACCCACACUCAGAUGCUGCUGCACUGCCUGACGCUGUGGAAGGAGGCCAAGCUCGGCGACGGUGGCGGCUUUAUCGACUACGCGAAGGUGCGCAACCUGAAGAUCUGCUCGGGUGUCGCGGAGCUCUCUGCGGAGCUGAACCCUGACUCGCACAGCUCCAAUAAAGGGAAGCAGAGGUGGCGCACGAUCGAUCGCACAGCGUCGCUGCUUUUCACUCUUCAGCUGCUGGAGGCGAACUGCCGCUACUACUGUCUUGUCUUUCUUGUCAACUACUGUGGUCUUUUGCUGCGGAGCUACAGUCGCCUGACGGAUCAGAGGAAGGUGAAUCGCGUUCACGCCAACAUUGUGGAGCACCUGGACAUGGUGAGCCGGCUGGUCUUGGGCCUCGCGGGGGAGUACCCGAACGAGUACCUGAGCCGGCUGAUCAUGGCGAGCCUGCCGAAGCCGUCGAACUUCGACCGCGAGUGUCUGAGCUCGAUGGGCGCCAGCUCCCACAUGAGUAGCCAGAAGAUUCUCUCCUUUGGCAACGAUCAGCACCGCCACCUGUACGCCUCCGGCUACCCGUGGUCGCCUACGGAGUCUGCGCUGAUUCCGCUGAUCCUGGCUCGCAAUGUUCGUCUGCAUGUUCAGGAGAACGUGAGCCGUCAUUCGCAGGCGCAGCUGCGCUCCCCCGCAGAGCGCAUGAGUUACCACUACACGAACUGGAACUUUAAUACUGGACUUGUGAUCGUACCCGGGUGCAGCCUGUACAUGCUGAAGAAGUCGCUGCCGGGGUUUGUGCCCGGAAAGAGCACUUUUGCGCACUAUGCCAUCACGGCGGAGCAUGAGGAGCUUCACCUGCCCGGGGCAGCUGCAGAUGCACACUGGCAGAGGGGCAGUGCUGCGGUGCAUGUGCCAGGGGACGGCGGUGGCGCAGCGCCCGGCUCACACCGGAACCCCCCGAUAUCGGAGGGCAGCGCUGGUGCUGAGAAGCGGGAGGCUCUUAAGAAGAAGUGCGAGGAGAGGCUCAUCAAGAAACGGCGGUACAUCAAUGCAGACCUCCACCUCAGCGAUGAGCGUACGUGCGUCGCCCUUUGCUUGGAGGAGGCAUGCGCUAUCGCUCUUCCCUCAGUGCGUCUCGCAUCGAUGCUACGGAAAAUGUCUGGUAUACCUGAGAGCGCCGAGUUCAUAAAUAAUGUGACUAACCUUGUGACCGGACUCUACGGCCCUGACUCCAGCGAGUGGCACAUCAUAGCAUCCAUCUUGCGCAAGCAUCUGGAGGAGUAAGGGGAGCGCGCUGUUACCUUGCCUCCUUGUGAUGAUGUGCUUCAGAAAACCAUGCGUGCUUUGGUGUAGCCUUGCUGACAUGGCUGCUGUUCGUUUCUCCUCGCGGCUGCAUGUAGUAAAGCGCUGCGAUCGGUUUAGCGAUGACGCGUGCCGCAGGCGUGCUGCUGAGGCCGCCUACCGCUUUCUGUUUGUUGUUUUUCGUACGUUUUGCUUGCAUGUGUUUUCUUCCGUGCCUUGGGCGAUGUGAGCUGCUGCUCUGCCCCAUAGCGAUGCGGAGCCGGCGGUUUCCUGUUCCCUUUCGCUCUCCCAGUCUUCUCCGCCACCCGCUCUUUGAGCAUGUGCGCCUGCUCACUUGUACGCGAGCGCUUCCAGUCACACUCCCACGCGCCGCUGCUGAUGCUAGUGCUUCUGAUGCUGGAGCCGCCUACUCCCGGCUUCGCCUGAGGAUGCCGGCCACGGCGUGGUGGCACGAGGGCCGCGUGCCUGCUCUGUGGGGCCGCCGGGGGCCUGCGGCCUGGCCUUGGGUGCUGGCUGCGGACUGCUGGUGUGGGCGGGCAGUGGGCUGCGCUGGGGCUGCGCGCAUCCGGAGGCUGAGCGAGAGGAGCCCGCUAGGCGCGCGGCCCCGGCUCGACGGCAGGGCGCUGCGUCCUGGGCGAAGACUGCUGAGCCGUAUGCCUGCGAAGGUAGGCGAGCUGCGGUGGUAUGCAGUGGCUCAAGGCCCGUAGUAUUUUGGGCGUCUGUGUCCAUAUAUGUAGAAAAGGUAGAUCCUUCUGUGUGUCUCUUAUUCUGAUGGAAUUAUAUUAUUGUGCUGCACAGGCGGCAGUGCGUGAGCUGAGUUUUCGCUUCGGCGCCCAUUGAUGUAGAAGAAUAACGAGUGUCUCCUCACGCCUCGCAAAUGCUCUGUGCUGCUGUCUUGCUUCUGUGCCGCUUGUCCCCUCGACGGUGCGCCGCCUUCCCAUGUUGCCAUUACGUUCUUUUUCUUUUGGGGCGCUAAGUGGGGGCGACAGUAUUUGCGGCGUGCGUGCGGAUGAGCGUGAGUGCGGAGUGCGUUGCUUCUGCGGUGUAUUCUUUUUCGGGCUGUUCUGCCGUUCUCUUUCCCCAUUCUUUCUCGUCCUCCGUGUCUCUCUCGUUUCAUGUGCGUUCAUCUUGCUGUGUCUCGCACCUCCUCCUCCUCUCUCCCUCUUGUUUGUGGCUUAUCUUCUGCGUCGUCUCUUGCGCCCGGUGUCCUCCCUUCCUCGCCGCCUCCCCCCUCCCCCUUGCGUCUCUCCCUCUUCCUACCGAGUGGACGCGAUGCGGUGUGGCGUCGUGGGUGAAG